rnacentral:rRNA from 1 species
GACGAACGCUGGCGGCGUGCUUAACACAUGCAAGUCGAACGGAAAGGCCCUGCUUUUGUGGGGUGCUCGAUUGGCGAACGGGGGAGUAACACGUGAGUAAACUGCCCUUGACUUUGGGAUAACUCCAGGAAACUGGGGCUAAUACCGGAUAGGAGCUUUUGAUGCAUGGUGGGGGAUGGAAAGUUUCGGCGGUUGUGGAUGGACUCGCGGCUUAUCAGCUUGUUGGUGUGGUAGUGGCGUACCAAGGGUUCGACGGGUAGCCCGCCUGAGAGGGGGACCGGCCACAUUGGGACUGCGAUACGGCGCAGUAGCCUACGGGAGGCAGCAGUCGAGAAUAUUGCACAAUGGGCGGACGCCUGAUGCAGCAACGCCGCGUGCGGGAUGACGGCCUUCGGGUUGUAAACCGCUUUCGCCUGUGCCGAAGCGUGAGUGACGGUAAUGGGUAAAGAAGCACCGGCUAACUACGUG